CACGCCCAGCUGGCAGAUCUGGGUGCAGAAGGGGCAAGGGCACCCCCUGAGUGCAAGCCACCAGGUAGAGCUGGAAAAGACCCGUUGGGACGUCCCUGUCCUUGGCUGUGGGCCAGGAAUGAGGAAGAGAAGAAGGGCAGAGGUGGUGUGUCUGCUCCUCAAGGCUCAGGAAUAAGUGUGUGACAUCAUCUUGGUACCUCGACCAACAACACAGUCUCCUAACUUCCCGUGUUCAGAUUCUGGGCUCAACAAGCAACCUCGGAAGCUCAUCUGACUUCCCAAGAAAAUCUACCCACAGAGAGACUGUGGGCCGGGGCAGACAUGUCCCAGAGAAGAUAGAGGGUGGCAGAAAAGCAAGAGAAGGU